CAGCAGUCUCCGCAACAGGUCUCGGCUCAGCUCUCCCCACAACUCACCGUUCACCAGCCUACUGAGCAACCCAUCCAGGUCCAGCACAGUUCAUGAAUGGCAACAUCCACAUUCCAGUGGCUGUGCAGGCUGUGGCAGGCACGUACCAGAAUACGGCUCAAACUGUCCAUAUAUGGGACCCCCAACAGCAGCCGCAGCAGCAAACUCCGCAGGAACAGACACCACCACCACAGCAGCAGCAGCAGCAACUCCAAGUUACUUGUUCAGCUCAAACUGUCCAGGUUGCUGAAGUUGAACCACAGUCACAGCCACAGCCUUCCCCAGAACUUCUGCUUCCAAAUUCUUUGAAGCCAGAAGAAGGGCUUGAAGUAUGGAAAAACUGGGCCCAGACCAAGAAUGCUGAACUAGAGAAGGAUGCUCAGAACAGAUUGGCACCCAUUGGGAGGCGCCAACUGCUGCGAUUCCAGGAAGAUCUCAUCUCCUCUGCUGUGGCAGAGUUGAAUUAUGGGCUCUGUCUAAUGACACGGGAAGCUCGAAAUGGAGAAGGUGAACCCUAUGACCCAGAUGUGCUCUACUAUAUUUUCCUGUGUAUUCAAAAGUAUCUUUUUGAAAAUGGAAGGGUAGAUGACAUUUUCUCCGAUCUUUAUUAUGUUCGGUUCACGGAGUGGCUACAUGAAGUUCUGAAGGAUGUUCAGCCCCGGGUCACUCCACUUGGCUAUGUCUUGCCCAGCCAUGUGACUGAGGAGAUGCUAUGGGAGUGCAAGCAGCUUGGGGCUCACUCCCCCUCCACCUUGCUGACCACCCUCAUGUUCUUUAAUACCAAGUAAGUGUUCUAGAGGCUCCACUGCUGGCAUCUGUCC
rnacentral:sRNA from 1 species